UACGUAGGGUGCGAGCGUUGCCCGGAUUUAUUGGGCGUAAAGGGCGCGUAGGCGGCUCUGCACGUCCGUUGUGAAAUCGCCCGGCUCAACUGGGCGGGGUCAGCGGAUACGGCGGAGCUUGAGCAAGCUAGGGGGCAAUGGAAUUCCCGGUGUAGUGGUGGAAUGCGUAGAUAUCGGGAGGAACACCAGUGGCGAAGGCGGUUGCCUGGGCUUUGGCUGACGCUGAUGCGCGAAAGCGUGGGGAGCGAGUCCGG
rnacentral:rRNA from 1 species